UAUAGUUUUUGCCAUCACCAGCACUUUGCUCUCUGGGACAACUUUGCCAGGGGCUCAGACACACUGACACACAUGACAAAGCAGGCGUCUUCCCAAGUGAGGCGCCUCUGGUCAGAACGUGCUCCCGUGUCCUUACGAGCCACCAGCUUCUCGUGUUUGGCAGACCGGUCUGGGCAGUGGCCUGAUCUCCUUUGCACUCACAGGACUGGAAUGAGCACCAGGCCAGAGAGUUCACUGGAAACAACAACUUUGUAAUCGAGUUUCUGUCUCCAUGAUCCUCUUUCAGCAGCAAACAGCCACAGCGACCGGGAACAGGAUGGCCAGACACGUUCCAUUUCCUUCAGCACAGUCUGGAGAUUAGAGCAGGCCUCCCUCCGGGCUUUGGGUCACAUGGAUCCUUUGAGCAGGAUGUGCAAGGACGUAGCUACUCAUCGUGAAGGUUCCCCAAACGAGUAAACAUUCAUGCGUCUA